CACGUAGGCGGAAAAUUAAGUGUCUUGUGAAAUCCCUCGGCUUAACCGAGGAAUUGCAGGGCAUACUGGUUUUCUUGAGACAAGUAGGGGUGCAUGGAACUCUUGGUGGAGCGGUGGAAUGCGUAGAUAUCAAGAGGAACGCCAGCGGUGAAAACGGUGCACUGGGCUUGUUCUGACGCUGAGGUGCGAAAGCGUGGGUAGCGAACAGGAUUAGAUACCCUGGUAGUCC
rnacentral:rRNA from 1 species